CUGCUGCUGCCGCUUCGUCUCUGCUCUGAUUCAGCUAGUGGUGGUGGUGCUGCAUCUAUGUGAGGGUGGCGCCAACUUGAGUUCUGAGUUUGCAAAAGUGGGCGGCUUGCUUUGCUAAUUUGGGGCUGGGGUUUUUCCUUUUCUCAUCCCUUGACUUAAUGAUUUUUAAAAAAUAAAGAUAAAAACCGCACGACAUGACGGG
rnacentral:lncRNA from 1 species